GCUUUGCACGAGCCUCCAACAGUCAGAAUGUACUUGCAGCUUCAGUUGAAUGUUGUUCAUGGGAAACUUGAGGAAGAGAAAAUCUAGGGUUUUGACGAGCGCCGCAGCAUCUAAUUGUUCCGUCAAGCUAACUGCAACCGAUUUGGUGAACCCAUCAACUAUUCUGCAGAGGGAAUCACGACAAAUGUAGGCGACGGCUCCUCAACUUGGGUUAAAGGUUGGACGUGCUGCAUUGGUGCUGGAGGUGAGCCCUUUAGUGGGAUCGUUGGUUGGAGAGGAGCGAUUCUGGUGCCCAGUGUCCCUUCUAUUCAAAUUAGUGGGAGGAGGACAGCUCAUGUUGCAAGGGACGGCUCCUCUAAUAGCUUCGAAGGUGGGGUGUUCAUUUGCCCCGUGGUAGGAACAUGGGUGGUAGAGUUAGCUUCUCUGAGUGAGUUUUCGUUGGGCGUGCUUCGAUACUUGGAUUCAAGGCUAGGAAGGCUUGAGCAUGCCGGUUAUUGGUCUUUCAAGUGAGAUCUACUGCUGAGGGAGGACCAGAGUUGUAGGGGACAGCUUCCCUAUGUGAUUCCAAGACUAGGUGGGCUUCGGUUCCUGUUGGUGUGCGUCGACCCCUCAUAUUGUAGAGGGCAGCUCCUCCGAGUGGGUCGGCAGCUCUCAUGAGUGGAUCAACCACUGGAUGGGCUAAAGAGCUGUUGGAGACGAGCUCACCGGUGGAUCACUGGUUGCAGAGUCAUUAAUGUGUUGGUGGCUGGUCUUUGAGGUCAGAUCUGAGGCAAUGGGAGGACCCAAGUUGCAGAGGAUAGGUUCUCAGGUUGUUACAAAAGCUGGGGGUGCGCUAGGUUGAGAAAAAGAGGAUCCUCUUGGUAGAUCUGAAACCGGGAUGUACCUGAGUUGAAGGUGCCCUCUCCUUGAUCUAUUUCAGAGGCUAGGUAUUCUCUAAGGGUGUUAACAAAAGAGGCAUCUAUGUUGAUCUGGAUCAUUCCGGGGUUCAGGGGUUGCCACUUUUGAGAUGAGGGUAUGAUGCGGGUUUAGGGGGCUUUUCCUAAAGAUAAAGUGGUUUCUAUCAUUCCAAAAACACCACAAAGCCAUAGCAAUCUAAUAAAAUUUUGGUAUGCACGUUCCAGAUCUAAAAGACUAGGGGCAUAGCAGCAAGGUAUGCUUAAUCAUUUCCGGUUCGAGUUUGCAAAUUGGGCAUAUGGGUGAGGGUACUAUUUUCCUCUUGUACAGAUUCUCCAUGGUUGGCAGGGUAUUUUGGCAUGCAUUCCAUAGAAAGGAUUUAAUCUUGAGGGUUAUUACUAAUUUCCAUAUGAGUUUCCAAAGUUUAUGGUUUAACUUGGUAAGAAGUUGUUGGAGUCGAUGUGUGUGGGCUGGCUGAAGUGAUCUUGUUGUUGAGAUAUUUGCUUUUCAUAGUAUAGUUCCUUGACUUGUUGUCUAUCCAAACCAAUCUAUCUUCUAUGGUCGGAAGGCCUAUAGGGAUAGUUAAGAUUUUUGAGACUAGCCGAUCAUCAAACAUGGACCUUAACAGAGGUUCAUUCCAUUGUGUUGCUUCCAUAUCAAUUAACUUUGCCACUUUGAGUGGCUCAUCUCUAGUCAUUGGGCCACCUAUAGGUUUGUUCUUCAGCCAUCUAUCUUCUCGAAUAGAAAUUCUUUUUCCAUUUCCAACCACCCACAUAAUUUGCGGGACAAUUGCAUCACUACCUGUUGAGAGGCUUUGCCAUUCCCAUGAUGGACAAGAGCCUUUACCUGCUUCCCAGAACUCACAAUUCGAAAAGUAGAGCCCCUUCAUAAUACGACUCCAAAGGGUAUCUGGAUGCUGGGAAAGUCGCCAAGCUUGUUUUCCUAGCAUAGCUUUAUUGAAAGCUAGAAGGUCCUUGAAGUUGAGUCCUCCUUCAUCCUUCCGAAGCUUUAGAACUUCCCAUCUUUUCUAGUGUAGGCUAGCUAAUUUGUUGCUAUUCCUCCACCAUAAAUUAGCUAUUUGUUUUUCAAUAGCUUUACAAAUGGAAACUAGGAUUUUAAACACAGACAUUGCAUACUGAGGACUUGCCUGCACCACAGAUUUAAUGAGUAUUUCCUUCCAUUGCUUUUGACAACAAAUUUUUUUUCCAACUUUCCAGUUUCAUGUUGACCUUUACAAGUAUCUAGGUAAACAUGUCUUUUUUAGAGCUCCCCAAUUUGACGGGAUUCCCAGAUAUUUCCCUGUUUUAGUAAUUUAUGGAACUCUCAACUCUAAUACCAUAUUCAUUUUUAAUCCUUCCGAACAUCCUUUGCUGAAAUAAAUUCCUGAUUUGUUUAGGUUUAUAGCUUGUCCUGAUGCAAAACAAUAUUGAUGCAAAAUAACCGCCAGAUUUUGACACUAUUAAUGUACCAUCUAGGAAAAAAAUAGAAUCGUCCGCAAAUAAUAAAUGGGAAAGAGUGGGACAAUUUCUAUUUAGUUUAAUUCCCAGAAGAGUACCUACUGUUAUGGCUUCUUUCAUCAUAUAAGACAAGACAUUAGCCACUAAAAUGAAGAGAUAGGGGGAGAGUGGGUCUCCUUGGCAAAUACCUCGAGUUGGCUUGAAGUAUGGCAUAGAUUUCCCAUUGAAUUUAAUGCUAAAUGAGACCGUGGAAAACACACAUGACCCACUACACCCACUUCCCACAAAAACCCAUCUUAAUUAGGCAUUCUUGGAGAAAAUCCCACUCUAUUUGAUCAUAGGCCUUCUACAUAUCUAACUUUAAGAAAGCUUGGAAUUUCCUUUUCCUCUCACGUGUUCUUAAUUUGUGCAAACCUCCUGUACAAUCAGAAUAUUAUCUUGAAUCUGCUUGCCCCCCACGAAAGCACUUUGUUCUGCUGUAAUUAGGUUUGGAAGCAAAGGUUUCAACUUGUUUGUAAGAGUUUUGGAAAUAAUUUUAUAAGCAAAAUUGCAUAGGCUAAUUGAGCGGAAUUGUUCUAGCUUUUCGGGGUUUGGGUUUUUGGGGAUGAGGGUGAUAAGGGUUCUGUUUAAGUUUGGGUUUAAUUGUCCAGUAUCAAAGAAUUGUUGUACCUCCUUAAAGAUAUCAUGGUUAAUUUCCAGUCAAUGAUGCUGGAAAAAUAACCCAUUCAAACCAUCCGGCCCUAGAGCUUUAGUAGCUCCUAAUUGGUGAGUAGCAGCAGUAAUUUCCUCCAUAGUAACAAGUUCAAUUAGCUUUUGGUUCAUAAUUGCGUCAAUCGAGCUAGGGAUUUGACUUAGGAUAGGUUGGAAAUUUCGGGAACCCAUUAACGUAUAAAGAUUAUUAAAGAAAGUGCCUGUCAUUUCCUUGAGAUUAUCCUCAUUUCUAACCCAUUCCCCUUCUGCAUUCUUGAGCAUAGAGAUAUGAUUUCUAAUUCUCCUUUGUAUGGUUAUUGCAUGAAAGAACUUUGUGUUUCUAGAUCUCAUUCCCCAAAACAUCUCCUCCUGUCUCCAUAAGGAUUCAAUCUCUUUAUUCAUUUGCUGAACUCUCUGACUAUCCUCAUGUAUUUCAGGACUAUUUUGCAGAUUUAGGAGUUCAUUUUUCAGCCAUAAUAUUCUUUUAUGUGCAUUAGGGAAGCAUUUUUUGCUCCAUUCAACAAGUUGUUUAGCCACUAGAUUGAGUUUCCCCAUUAUACUUGCUCCAGGAGAUUCUGAAUUAGACCAAGCUCUCUUUACAAUGCGUUCGCACUCCUCAUCUUCUGCCCAAAAAGCCUCAUAUAUAAACUCCUUCCUCUUGCAUUCAUUCUUUGAGGAGAUUGACAAUAUCAGUGGGCUAUGGUCAGAGCCAAUAGCUAGUAGGGCUACUACUUCAGCAUUUGGAUAAGCAACCCUCCACUCCAUUGAACAUAGAGCCAUGUGUAGCCUCUUCUUUACAAAAUCAUCUCCUUCUCUUCGAUUAGUCCAAGUAAGGCACACCCCUUGCAUUCCAAAUCCAUCAGAGAACAAACAUGAAGAAAAUCUCUAAACGCUGUGAGUUGAAAAUGUUCUGCCUUCUUUUUACCCACUUUCUCCCAAGGGUACAAAAUUUCAUUGAAGUCACCCAUACAUAGCCAUGGUAAGAAAUUUGCAACACUUGCUUUUUGUAUAUCCUCCCAUAAGAGUACUCUUUCUUUGAAGAUCAUUUGGGGCAUGCAGGAAGGUGAUUUCCAUGAGUUGUCUACUUUCCUGAAGUUGGCAAUGCAUGUUUAUUAAGUUAUCUAUUUGUGAUUCAACUAAAAUAUCUACCUGGUUAUCCUAGAAAAUAGCCAUGCCCCUCGCAAUUCCUAUGAGAUUUACCAGGAAGCUAUUCUGAAACUUAAGCUUUCUUCGUAGCUUUAGCACCAUUUGCUCUUGAUUUUUUGUUUCCAUUAAAAAGAUUGUGAUGGGCCUUUCCCGAGUCAUUAAGACUCACAAUGCUUGAAUUAUCAGGGGUGAGCCCAACCCCUGACAAUUCCAACUCAGAAGCUUCAUGGGUUACUGGUGGCUUAUUAGGACUAGCCACCAAAGUCCACUUAAUUUCCUUCUCCUCCACUGUGAUAGGAUUAUCCACCAGUUGUGAUGUGUCUAAAGAUACUGAUUUGGAAGAAUGCGCACCAUAAGGGAAAAAUCUCUUUCCCUUUUUUGUUGUGGUUAGUUUGGUACCUUUUGCUUUGCACCUUAUUAGGUUGUGUGAAAUUUCUAAGAUUUCUAGCAUCUUAGCUUCAAGUUCCCUCAUUUGUUCUUUAUAUAGCACCAUAGUAGACUCAUCAUCUAAGCAAUUACUGCCUCUUUUUUGUGUACCUUUGUCUUCAACUAUCAUAAUUGCUAAUGGAGAGGAGGAUUUCUCACCCUCUUUUUCAGCAUUCUCCAUAGUGAGCUGAUGUCCACAAAAUGGCCUGCUAGGCUUCGCAACUACCUCCUUCAACUUCUGAACCUCUUAAGUUACAGUAGGAAUAAGAUUUUCAAGGACCAUUCCUUGUGCUAUUUGGGUUUCAGCUUGUUUGCCAUAUAAUAUUUUCUCGUAAGGACUCAAUUCUUUCACUUCCGCUAAGAGCCAUUGCCCAAAAUUGCCUGGCAAGUUUCCUCCAGCCCUAACUGCUCAUAUGGUAUUUCUUUGCAGGCCAUGGCAUAAUGCCCAAUCUUACCUCAAGAAUAACAAUAAUGUGGGAGUCUCUCAUAUUUAAAUUAUAUCCAUAGGUUUUUAUUUCCUAGGUUGAUAACAAUGCUUGUCUUGAGGGGAUUGGCUAGAUUCAUAAUUACUCUAGCUUUGCCUACUUUAUAGUUGCUGCUCCCCUUUGCUUCCAGCUUGACAUCUAUAACCUCCCCAAGUUUAGAGGCUAUCUCUUUCACUAUUUCAUUCGAUACUCUUCCAAAUGGGAGUCCAUAAAGAUGCACCCAAAUAGGGCAAUAGGUGAACUCAUAACACAUUUCUAGAGUGUUGGGUCACAUUGCUGUAACACUAAGAGAUUGCAAGAAAAUGACCAAGGCCUUAACUCUAGCACUUUCUGUUUUUCAGCCUCUGAUUUGAAAGAAAAUGAAAAAAGACCUGGUUUUAGCAGGGUACAAGAAACAAUGAAUGAAAAAGUCCUUUGAAGCUUAAUAUUAAAUGUGUUAAAAAGUGUUUAUAUCAUAUCAUGUUAAAAAAAAAAAAUGACACGGUAGUUCAUUAACUUAAACUUGUCAGAAUAUUUAGCUGCGAAUAAUAAAUAGGCAAGCAUUAACCCCCAACCAAUCUAUCAGCUAUAUGAUCGUAAUACUAAUGUGUAAAUUAAAAUUUUGCAGGCUUUAGUUGUGCCUCUUAGCUAAUAUUCUAGUUCAUUAGUUAAUUGCCACGUGUCCAAGUGAAGCUCACUUUUUGCUGCUUUUUUUUUUUUUUUUUUUGUGAUCUUUUCAAAAUUGUGAUUUUUCACAACUUUCAAAUGCCAUGUUCUCACUUUCUUCUCUUUCCUUCUUGAAAUCCAUUGUUGUGUAUGAUCUCCCAAGUAGGUUCUUUGCGGGGCCACUCGCACUGUUUCAAAAAAGCCUCAAUCAAGUCUCAAUUGAUUAUGUUAAGCAAUUGUUUAAAUUGGAUAUCAUUACUUGGCCAAUGCUUAAAAAAGGGAAUGAAGUAUAUGAUCUAAAUUGCAAAAUCCUUUAAGCUUGAAGUUAACAUAUUGAAUUUAGAUUAUUUUGAGUUGAACUAAAAAAAAAAAAAA